UUCGGGAGCAGAGUGACAGGUGGUGCAUGGUUGUCGUCAGCUCGUGUCGUGAGAUGUUGGGUUAAGUCCCGCAACGAGCGCAACCCUUGAUCUUAGUUGCCAUCAUUAAGUUGGGCACUCUAAGGUGACUGCCGGUGACAAACCGGAGGAAGGUGGGGAUGACGUCAAAUCAUCAUGCCCCUUAUGACCUGGGCUACACACGUGCUACAAUGGACGGUACAAAGAGCUGCAAGACCGCGAGGUGGAGCUAAUCUCAUAAAACCGUUCUCAGUUCGGAUUGUAGGCUGCAACUCGCCUACAUGAAGCUGGAAUCGCUAGUAAUCGCGGAUCAGCAUGCCGCGGUGAAUACGUUCCCGGGCCUUGUACACACCGCCCGUCACACCACGAGAGUUUGUAACACCCGAAGUCGGUGGGGUAACCUUUUUGGAGCCAGCCGCCUAAGGUGGGACAGAUGAUUGGGGUGAAGUCGUAACAAGGUAGCCGUAUCGGAAGGUGCGGCUGGAUCACC
rnacentral:rRNA from 1 species